rnacentral:snoRNA from 1 species
ACCCACGAGGAUGAGACGCGAUAUUCCCUUCUGAGCGCGAAGCGGGCUUUGAGUAAUGAUUCAUUUCAUCCGUUCUCUGCCAUUGAUGACCGUUCUUUGCUUCCUUGUGGAGCAUUGAGGGAGGGAAUAUGAUCAGAGUGGU